rnacentral:lncRNA from 1 species
GGCGAGGUGAGGCGGGGCCGAGGGCGGGGCUGAGGGGCGGGCUUGGAGGACUGAACGGGGGUGCGGAUAGAAGAGGAGGAGACUGAGGCGGGGGGGGAGGGGCUGAAGCCGUCUCUGGCGGAGAGUGUGCGUCAUGACGUCAUGGCGCAGAAUACUUAUAUACAGGCGCCUGGUCGCCAUCUCGGUCUUUCGUGGCUGCGAGCCGGUUGUUCCCCGUUUUUGUAUGCUGCUAAGAAACGCGGCAGGCAUGACUCCAGUGUGGAUUUUGAUGGCUUCUGGUGGGCAGUUGUGUACCAGAAGGAUGACAACUACUGCUGUGGUCUUAAAGCUCAAGCUUGAUGCUGUAUCUAUGAGCAGACAGCCAUUAAGCAGACUUGACUGGAAGUUGAAGAGGUGAACUUGAAUCCUUGACCUGUCAAAAGCAGUUGGCCUUUUUGAUGAUGGCUACAUGUUUUUUUCUAUGGAUGACUUCUUUGGGGUAAGACACGAAAACACUCACUACUGGCAUUUGGGCUUACAUUGUUUCUGAAAUGUGCUGGUCCAAGUAGUUGACGUUUGAUAGUGUUCUCUGAUGGACAAAUCAAUCUUGCCUAAUUAUUAAGCAAGGUACUGUUGGUGAUGAUUUUUAUAAUAAAACAGAUGGGAAUCUCUCUGAAAAAGAAUGA